CCUACGGGAGGCAGCAGUGGGGAAUAUUGGGCAAUGGGCGCAAGCCUGACCCAGCAACGCCGCGUGAAGGAAGAAGGCUUUCGGGUUGUAAACUUCUUUUCUCAGGGACGAAGCAAGUGACGGUACCUGAGGAAUAAGCCACGGCUAACUACGUGCCAGCAGCCGCGGUAAUACGUAGGUGGCAAGCGUUAUCCGGAUUUACUGGGUGUAAAGGGCGUGUAGGCGGGAAAGCAAGUCAGAUGUGAAAGCCCGUGGCUUAACCGCGGAACGGCUUUGGAAACUGUGGAACUGGAGUGCUGGAGAGGCAAGCGGGAUUCCUAGUGUAGCGGUGAAAUGCGUAGAUAUUAGGAGGAACACCAGUGGCGAAGGCGGCUUGCUGGACAGUAACUGACGUUGAGGCUCGAAAGCGUGGGGAGCAAACAGGAUUAGAUACCCGAGUAGUC
rnacentral:rRNA from 1 species